GCGGNNGAAAAGNNCCNACAGGGAUUGCCUUAGUAACGGCGAGUGAAGCGGCAACAGCUCAAAUUUGAAAUCUGGCCCCAGGCCCGAGUUGUAAUUUGCAGAGGAUGCUUUUGGCGCGGUGCCUUCCGAGUUCCCUGGAACGGGACGCCAUAGAGGGUGAGAGCCCCGUCUGGUUGGAUACCAAGCCUUUGUAAAGCUCCUUCGACGAGUCGAGUAGUUUGGGAAUGCUGCUCUAAAUGGGAGGUAUAUGUCUUCUAAAGCUAAAUACCGGCCAGAGACCGAUAGCGCACAAGUAGAGUGAUCGAAAGAUGAAAAGCACUUUGGAAAGAGAGUUAAACAGCACGUGAAAUUGUUAAAAGGGAAGCGUUUAUGACCAGACUUGGGCCGGUUAAUCAUCCAGCGUUCUCGCUGGUGCACUUUGCCGGUCCAGGCCAGCAUCAGUUCGCUGCGGGGGAUAAAGGCGUCGGGAAUGUGGCUCCUCUGGAGUGUUAUAGCCCUUCGCGCAAUACCCUGCGGUGGACUGAGGUUCGCGCAUCUGCAAGGAUGCUGGCGUAAUGGUCAUCAACGACCCGUCUUGAAACACGGACCAAGGAGUCGUCUUCGUAUGCGAGUGUUCGGGUGUAAAACCCCUACGCGUAAUGAAAGUGAACGCAGGUGAGAGCUUCGGCGCAUCAUCGACCGAUCCUGAUGUUCUCGGAUGGAUUUGAGUAAGAGCAUACGGGGCCGGACCCGAAAGAAGGUGAACUAUGCCUGUAUAGGGUGAAGCCAGAGGAAACUCUGGUGGAGGCUCGCAGCGGUUCUGACGUGCAAAUCGAUCGUCAAAUAUGGGCAUGGGGGCGAAAGACUAAUCGANCCUUCUAGUA
rnacentral:rRNA from 1 species